CCAUGGUGUGACCAGCCAGUCUAGAAGUUCACAAGCCAGCUCAGCCCCUGCCAGACAAUUCUGGAACGGUCCUUGGAUCGCUUUGGAAAAAUCUCCAAGGGGGGAUCUGCCUGAGGGAAGCAUCGCUGCCCAGCUCCAAGGACGUCCGCCUGCCAGCAGAGGUGCUCAGUGUCCGACAGCACAGCGUCCUCAGGCUUGCCGCGUUCUCCACAUUAUCUUCUUCAGAAAUGAUGAGGACGCUUUGAUCUUCGCCUUCCUGCCAAGAAGUUACAGGCCUUCAGCAGACUCGAGUUCCAAACUUAUUGCAUCAGACAGACUGCAGUGCGACUGCCGUCUAGGAGGGCAACAGAUUCCCGUGCCUCCUGUUCUGCCCUCUUCCCAGGGUCCUCGCCAAGGUGUGUGCAUUCUAUACAGACAUUACACAGUGUGCGUAUAAAUGCAUAAUCCUCCCCCAACAAUGACAGAAAUGUUCACUUAGAGAAUCAAAGAAACUAAACUAAAAGCCUUUUAGAACAAUGCAAUCUGCUAAGGUCACUGAUUACAAGACAAAUGUACAAAACUCAACAGAUUAACACUUGACGCCCAUGACCUCUUAAGAUAAUUUUUAUGGGAAAAGGUCUGAUUCACAAUAUAGACAAUAUAGGCUAGAACCAUGAAAAGCCUGGUAAUAAGUUUAAAAAGAAUUGUUCAAGACCUAUAUAUGAUAACAACUGAAUAGAGAACAUCUGAAACUAAAAAUCAAGAAGGUGGACCAGAAUUCACAGGUAGAGUGAAAGGGGAUGGCUGGGGUGGUGAUGGUGGCAGGGGGCAGAGAACAGACUUUGUAACUAUAAGCCUAAAACUGUUAUUUGACUUUUUGAACAAUGUUUACAAUGUUAGUCUAGUAAGAAUAUAAAUUGAAAUUUAAAAAAUGCACAGGACAAAACAGAUUUGUGAAAAGUUACAAGACAAUUUUGAAACCUUAGAAUUACAUUUUUAAAAAUAAAUAUCCAAAUGUCUUCCAGAAAUUUUGUGCUGUUACAGUCCCACCAAUGUUGGAUGCAUAUAUUAAUUUCCAACAAUUUGCUUGUAUAACCCUGGGAGUGGGUGUCUCCUUGGGAGUGAGGCACCAAGGGUACAAAUUUUAAGUGCAGGUUUGGUAUUUGCGUGACCCUGAGAUGAGCACCUCCUUGAAUUUUGUGCCCUGGUGCCUCACUGCUUCAUCCUAGGCCUGGGCCCGAUUGUGUCCCUGGGUAAUUGCAGAGAUGAAUGCCGCCAAUGAAGAUUUGAAAGAAGCAGGACUGGGAAUACCCAUUCCAUUCCCAUACAUCCCACUCACCUGCUCAGCCUGUGCAGAUGUUGAAUGGAUCUGGGAGAAUGACUAUGAACUGCAAUAAAUGUGACUGGGUGGUGACUCCAUUUGUAUCUGCUGUCCCAGAUGCAGUAAGUUUACUGGAGCAAAUCAGCGUGGCCCUGGCACUAGGUACGUAGCUGUUGGCCGUCUUUUUCUCCAUACUAAUUUUCAAGGACCAUCAGAAACAGUUUGCUUUUACCUGGCAGGGCCAACAGUAUACUUUCACAAUGUCAGCUUGUAACUAUGUAAAUCCUCCUGCUCUGCCACAAUACAGUCCACAUAAGUCUCUAUUAUCUUUUCAAAAAUAUUUGUAACUUAAGAUUUUCUAAAAGCUGUGAAAAAUAUUUAACUUGCAUAUGAGUCACCUAGAGAUUGUUCCUUUACAGGUUCUGAUCCAGUAGUUGUUUUUUUACAUUUUUUUAUUGAUUUAUAAUCAUUUUACAAUGUUGUGUCAAAUUCCA